AAUAAAAUGCCUGAAAAAGGGUUACUUUGAUAGAGUAAAUCAUGUAUAAUUAUACUUUUAUUA
rnacentral:tRNA from 2 species